GCGGACGCUGGCGGCAGGCCUAACACAUGCAAGUCGAGCGGCCCUUCGGGGCAGCGGCGGACGGGUGAGUAACGCGUGGGAACGUGCCCUUUGGUACGGAACAACUGAGGGAAACUUCAGCUAAUACCGUAUGUGCCCUACGGGGGAAAGAUUUAUCGCCAUUGGAGCGGCCCGCGUUAGAUUAGCUAGUUGGUAGGGUAAUGGCCUACCAAGGCGACGAUCUAUAGCUGGUCUGAGAGGAUGAUCAGCCACACUGGGACUGAGACACGGCCCAGACUCCUACGGGAGGCAGCAGUGGGGAAUCUUGCGCAAUGGGCGAAAGCCUGACGCAGCCAUGCCGCGUGAAUGAUGAAGGUCUUAGGAUUGUAAAAUUCUUUCACCGGGGACGAUAAUGACGGUACCCGAAGAAGAAGCCCCGGCUAACUUCGUGCCAGCCGCCGCAGUAAAAC
rnacentral:rRNA from 1 species